rnacentral:lncRNA from 1 species
AUAGGGAAGUGGCUUAGCCAAGUGGAAGGGGAAAAGGGCUAAAGAGUGAGGGAAGUGAAAAAUAAGGAAGAAGGAGAAGUGAGGAGAAAAGAAAGGAAGAGAGAAAUUAAAUAAGAAGAAGAGAAAAAAAGAGAGAGGGGAGGGGGAACAUGUUGCUCCUUUCUUGCAUAAAGGGGUGAGAAUAGGAAGGAAAGAGAACAAAUGGAGGAAGGUUGGUGUAAGUUGGUGG